GUGGGGAAUCUUAGACAAUGGGCGCAAGCCUGAUCUAGCCAUGCCGCGUGAGCGAUGAAGGCCUUAGGGUUGUAAAGCUCUUUCGUGGGGGAAGAUAAUGACUGUACCCCAAGAAGAAGCCCCGGCUAACUCCGUGCCAGCAGCCGCGGUAAUACGGAGGGGGCUAGCGUUGUUCGGAAUUACUGGGCGUAAAGCGCACGUAGGCGGACUGGAAAGUCAGGGGUGAAAUCCCGGGGCUCAACCCCGGAACUGCCUUUGAAACUCCCAGUCUUGAGUUCGAGAGAGGUGAGUGGAAUUCCGAGUGUAGAGGUGAAAUGCGUAGAUAUUCGGAGGAACACCAGUGGCGAAGGCGGCUCACUGGCUCGAUACUGACGCUGAGGUGCGAAAGCGUGGGGAGCAAACAGGAUUAGAAACCCUGGUAGUCC
rnacentral:rRNA from 1 species